AGGAAAAUUAUGGAUGCACUAAUGUAUAGUAUUUAAGAACAAAAUAGUGCAGAUACGUGAAAACCAGGAAGUUUAAUCCCGUUUCCCAGGUUAUUUUUUCAGAAUUAUUACGUAACACGUUGAUUGUAUCGCGAUGCAAUGUUUUUCCGGUCAAAAAUUGCUUAUAAAAAUUUAAUUGAAAAAGAAAAUGACUGAUUCGUAUAAAUUUGCUAAAUUGUAUAUAACUGUGGUCUCUUGUUUUACCGGGAAAAGAGUGUUCAUAUUUCUUCCUUUUUUAACAGUUUGAAUUAUUGAAGAUGAAAAUUAAUUAGAUUUCAUCCUUUAAAAUUAAAAAUGAUAAAAAGAUAAGGACGAAUUUCGAGUUCUUUCAGAAUUCUUGAGACUUAGUGGAAAAUUAAAUCAAAGCGAAUUCUUAAUUAUGGCUUGCGCAAGUCAAGCUUCUCUGUACUUUCAAAAAAAUAAAAAAAAAGUAAUGGAAGAUA